rnacentral:rRNA from 1 species
GACGAACGCUGGCGGCGUGCUUAACACAUGCAAGUCGAACGGUAAGGCCCUUCGGGGUACACGAGUGGCGAACGGGUGAGUAACACGUGGGUGAUCUGCCCUGCACUUUGGGAUAAGCCUGGGAAACUGGGUCUAAUACCGGAUAGGACCAUGCGCUUCACGGUGUGUGGUGGAAAGCUUUUGCGGUGUGGGAUGGGCCCGCGGCCUAUCAGCUUGUUGGUGGGGUAAUGGCCUACCAAGGCGACGACGGGUAGCCGGCCUGAGAGGGUGACCGGCCACACUGGGACUGAGAUACGGCCCAGACUCCUACGGGAGGCAGCAGCAAGGAAUCUUCCGCAAUGGGCGAAAGCCUGACGGAGCAACGCCGCGUGGGGGAGGACGCUUUUCGGAGUGUAAACCCCUUUUCUCGGGGACGAAGCACUGACGGUACCCGAGGAAGAAGGACCGGCUAACUACGUGCCAGCCGCCGCAGUAA